rnacentral:tRNA from 1 species
GCCUUCGUGGUGUAGUGGUCAGCACGCUGGACGUGUAACCAAGAGGUCCGUGGUUCGAUUCCCGACGAAGGCA